AGGAGGGUCGGGCUGACCGUGGUGAGCUAUACGGCGUUUAUGAAGAUUUUGUUUGAUUGUGGGAGGGAGAAGGAGGCCGCGGGGGUUUAUAGGGAGAUGAUUGAUGCCGGGUUGAAGCCGAAUUGUCAUACUUAUACGGUCUUGAUGGAGUAUCUCGCUGGUGCUGGGAAGUUUGAUGCUGCGUUUGAGAUAAUGAGCAAAAUGCUAGAAGCAGGGAUUCCACCUGACAAAGCUACAUGCAAUAUUCUAGUUCAAAAGUGUUCUGUAGCUAGAAAUACAUCAGCAAUUGCUCAUGUUCUCCAAUACAUGAAGGAUAGUUCAAUUGUCCUUCGCCGUCCUAUAUUUUUGGAAGCACUUGAAGCUUUUAAAGAUUCUGGCAAGAUCAAUCAUCUCCUCCGAGAAGUAAACCCUCAUCUUGCUUUUGAAGGCAUUGAAGAAGAAAUUGACUCUAGAAUGAAUUCUGAUAACAUUCUCUAUACUAUUGAUAGGGAACUUGUUAUUAAUCUUCUUGCAAAAAAGAAUUUUAUAGCCAUUGAGCGUAUAUUGAAUGAUAAGAUAAAUAAUGAGAUACAAUUAGAUUCUGGACUUAUGUCUUCUGUUGUCCAAGCUUACUGUGCAAACUCUAGGUUGUCUGGUGCUUUAUUGGCAUUUCAGUACUGUUUGAGAACAGAUAAGAAACUUGAUAGGUGCGCCUACAUCUCUCUUAUUGGUCUUCUCAUCAGAGCAAACUCGUUGUCGAACGUGAUGGAGAUUGUAGAGGAAAUAGUUCAGGCCGGCAUUGACCUUGGAUCUUAUCUCGUUUCUAUUUUGAUACACCAACUUGGAUGUGCUGGCCUUUCUUCUAUUGCUGCAAAGAUUUUUCAUUCUUCCCUCUCUGACCAGAAUACUGUUACUUAUACUUCUUUGAUGAGUGCUUAUUUUCAAGCUGGUGAAGUGGAUAAAGGUCUUGAGAUCUAUUCAAAAAUGAGAAGCCAAGGCAUCACCAUGUCACAUGGUACUUAUGCAGUGCUGAUCACUGGUCUGGAAGAGGCUGGUAGAAUUUCUGAUGCAGAAAUUUACAGAAAAGAGAAGAGAAGCUUGCAGUGGCGUAACAAUUCAAUCGAGAAUCUUUCAGCAGAAGAGAGUCUGUGUAACUGUUUAUUUAAUGGAAUUUGAACCUUGGGAAGUUCUGUUUUUGGUGGUCUUCACAUGAUUGUGGAUUCGAUAUGCCAAACUGAAGGAGAGCUACAAACAAGACUUGUUGAAUACUUUUGGAUACCGUGUAUAACUAGAAAUUGUUGCACAAAUUAAAUAUGCUGAUGUGAACAAGUAUUCAGUGCUGAACUUGAAUAGGUUGGCAUAACUUAUGAUCCAAGAAUUCACCUGAAAAGCAACAUAAUGAAAACAGUGGAUAAUCGAGACAUAAGUUCCACGAAUAUUUCUUCCUAAGCACUGCAUUUAGUCGUACAAAAUUACAGAUUAAUUCUGCAGCGCCCUUUUUAGUCACAAGUUCAAGUUGGGAGGGAACUGUGCAGCUGAGGCAAUUUACUGAUAAACAUUAAUAGGAGGAAUUUACUUCAGUUUGAGGGAACUGUGCAGCUGAGGCAAUUAACUGAUAAACAUGAAUAGGAGGAAUUUACUUCAGUUUCACAUUGGAUGUGACGUAAAGACGCUCUUGUUAAGAGCAGAUUGAGGUAGUCUAUGAUUCCCAGAGCAGGGGAUUCUGCCGCUUUUCAAGGUGUCUUCAGCAAGAUCUGCACUUAAGUGAGAGAGGAGAUCGAUGCAACGUUGGAAAUUUGGAUUAUGAGAAGGAAAGGCUGAUCUCAUUUACAAUGUUAUGUUCACUAAUGAAGUCCACAUGCUCAAUACCGAUUGCUUCUCCGUCCUUAGGCACAUUUCUGUAAGAUCGCCUUCCUGGUCAGGCAAUUGGAUCAUGAAGAUUUAGCCCUUCAACUGUAUUGCUCUAUUCUGCUUUCCUAGUUUGCCUAUAUAUCUGUUCAGCUGUACACCUUCAGAUAUGUUAAUGGAGUUUAUGAGUGUCCAAGAUUACUGAGGUGCUUUAUGUUAAAAGAGUUCCUCCUCUGAACUCUGUAAUCCAUUUGACAUCUGUGGCCCUUGUCCUACAAGGAAAAGAGAUGGAAUUGGUGGCGGAACAGGGUAUAUCAGCUGUAUCCUGAUGUGAAAUGAUCAAUGCAAUAUUCAACGAAAUAGCAGAAAUGAUGAGCCGAUAAUGAAGUGCAUAGGAAAAGAGAAUAAGGUGAUGAAACCUGCGAUCAUGAUAUUGGAGAUCUGAAGAGUUAAGGAUGUUAUCGAUGAGCAGACGGGAGAAGGGAUGAGAGCUGAGCAAUGGGGCAACUUUGAUGGGUACGGACACAAAACUGAACAGAACCUACUAGCCUCUCUCUCUGUUACCCCCACCCAUGACACUAGAGAAUUGAGUAAGAGAAGAAAAAUGAAAAGAAAGCAGAAACAGUUUAUUUUCUGUUCUCUUUUGCUCAGGUUGUUUCCCAUUGCAUUGACAGUUAAAAAGAAAAGACUAAAAUCAACUAGCAACCAAAAAAAAAAAAAAAAA